CCUACGGGAGGCAGCAGUGAGGAAUAUUAGUCAAUGGACGAGAGUCUGAACCAGCCAAGUAGCGUGAAGGAUGACUGCCCUAUGGGUUGUAAACUUCUUUUAUAUGGGAAUAAAACGUUCCACGUGUGGGAUUUUGUAUGUACCAUAUGAAUAAGGAUCGGCUAACUCCGUGCCAGCAGCCGCGGUAAUACGGAGGAUCCGAGCGUUAUCCGGAUUUAUUGGGUUUAAAGGGCGCGUAGGUGGAUUGUUAAGUCAGUUGUGAAAGUUUGCGGCUCAACCGUAAAAUUGCAGUUGAAACUGGCAGUCUUGAGUACAGUAGAGGUGGGCGGAAUUCGUGGUGUAGCGGUGAAAUGCUUAGAUAUCACGAAGAACUCCGAUUGCGAAGGCAGUUCACUGGACUGCAACUGACACUGAGGCUCGAAAGUGUGGGUAUCAAACAGGAUUAGAUACCCCUGUAGUC
rnacentral:rRNA from 1 species